rnacentral:rRNA from 1 species
UACGGAGGGUCCAAGCGUUAUCCGGAAUCAUUGGGUUUAAAGGGUCCGUAGGCGGUUUUGUAAGUCAGUGGUGAAAGCCCAUCGCUCAACGGUGGAACGGCCAUUGAUACUGCAAAACUUGAAUUAUUGGGAAGUAACUAGAAUAUGUAGUGUAGCGGUGAAAUGCUUAGAUAUUACAUGGAAUACCAAUUGCGAAGGCAGGUUACUAUCAAUAUAUUGACGCUGAUGGACGAAAGCGUGGGGAGCGAACAGG